rnacentral:rRNA from 1 species
CCUACGGGAGGCAGCAGUGGGGAAUCUUGGUCAAUGGGCGCAAGCCUGAACCAGCGAUGCCGCGUGAGUGAUGAAGGCCUUCGGGUUGUAAAGCUCUGUGGGGAGGGACGAAAGAAUCGGUUCUAACAGGACCGAAGUUGACGGUACCUCCUUAGCAAGCACCGGCUAACUCUGUGCCAGCAGCCGCGGUAAGACAGAGGGUGCAAACGUUGCUCGGAAUCACUGGGCGUAAAGGGCGUGUAGGCGGGAUGGCAAGUCGGGCGUGAAAUCCCUGGGCUCAACCCAGGAACUGCACUCGAAACUGCUGUUCUUGAGUAUCGGAGAGGAAAGCGGAAUACCUGGUGUAGAGGUGAAAUUCGUAGAUAUCAGGUGGAACACCAGUGGCGAAGGCGGCUUUCUGGA